AGUGAACGCUGGCGGUAGGCCUAACACAUGCAAGUCGAACGGCAGCACAGUAAGAGCUUGCUCUUACGGGUGGCGAGUGGCGGACGGGUGAGGAAUACAUCGGAAUCUACUUUUUCGUGGGGGAUAACGUAGGGAAACUUACGCUAAUACCGCAUACGACCUACGGGUGAAAGCAGGGGAUCUUCGGACCUUGCGCGAAUGAAUGAGCCGAUGUCGGAUUAGCUAGUUGGCGGGGUAAAGGCCCACCAAGGCGACGAUCCGUAGCUGGUCUGAGAGGAUGAUCAGCGACAGUGGAAGUGAGACACGGUCCAGACUCCUACGGGAGGCAGCAGUGGGGAAUAUUGGACAAUGGGCGCAAGCCUGAUCCAGCCAUACCGCGUGGGUGAAGAAGGCCUGCGGGUUGUAAAGCCCUUUUGUUGUGAAAGAAAAGCAGCAGGUUAAUACCCCGCUGUUCUGACGGUACCCAAAGAAGAAGCACCGGCUAACUUCGUG
rnacentral:rRNA from 1 species